GAGGGGCAGCGGGGUUGUAGCAAUACAACUGCCCUCGACCGGCGCACGGGUGAGUAACACGUAUGUAACCUGCCCUCUGCAGGGGGAUAAGCGGAAGAAAUUCCGUCUAAUACCGCAUAAUACAAUUUGGAGACAUCUCCGGGUUGUCAAAGGAGUGAUCCGGCAGAGGAUGGACAUGCGGCGCAUUAGCUAGUCGGCGGGGUAACGGCCCACCGAGGCUACGAUGCGUAGGGGUUCUGAGAGGAAGGUCCCCCACACUGGUACUGAGACACGGACCAGACUCCUACGGGAGGCAGCAGUGAGGAAUAUUGGUCAAUGGGCGGAAGCCUGAACCAGCCAAGUCGCGUGAGGGAAGACGGUCCUAUGGAUUGUAAACCUCUUUUGCAGGGGAGCAAGGCGCGGUACGUGUACCGCGAAGGAGAGUACCCUGAGAAAAAGCAUCGGCUAACUCCGUGCCAGCAGCCGCGGUAAUACGGAGGAUGCGAGCGUUAUCCGGAUUUAUUGGGUUUAAAGGGUGCGCAGGCGGACUGUUAAGUCAGCGGUAAAAAUGUCGGUGCUCAACACCGGCCGGCCGUUGAAACUGGCAGCCUUGAGUGAGCGAGAAGUAUGCGGAAUGCGUGGUGUAGCGGUGAAAUGCAUA
rnacentral:rRNA from 1 species